rnacentral:lncRNA from 10 species
CAGCCGCCCCGUCUGAGAAAAACCCUUAAUCCCAGUCUAAUCAUCAGAAAACAUCAGUCAAAUCCAGACUGGAGGAGGAGGCAUUCUACAGGAUACCUGGCCAGUGCCCAUCUAGACUUUCACAAGAAAAACAACAGAAGACUGGUAAACUGUCCCAGACCCGAGGAGACUGGGAGACAUGACAACUAAAUGCAAUGUGGUACAUCUUGUAUGGGGCCCAUGAACAGAAGGAGAACAUUAGUAGAAAACUGGAGAAAUCCAAAGAGUCUCAAAUUUAGUUCAUAGUAAUGUUCUAAUGUCAGCCUCUGAGUUGUGACAAACAUACCAUGGUAAUAUAAGAUGUUAACAAUAGGGAAAACUGGAUGAAGGGUGUACAGAAACUCUCUGUAUUGUUUGCAACUUUUCUUCGUGAGACAGAGUCUCACUCUGUCACCUAGGCUGGAGUGCAGUGGUGUGAUCUCGGCUCACUGCAACCUCCGCCUCCUGGGUUCACGCCAUU